UGAAUCCAUAGGUUAAUGAGGCGAACCGGGGGAACUGAAACAUCUAAGUACCCCGAGGAAAAGAAAUCAACCGAGAUUCCCCCAGUAGCGGCGAGCGAACGGGGAGCAGCCCAGAGCCUGAAUCAGUGUGUGUGUUAGUGGAAGCGUCUGGAAAGGCGCGCGAUACAGGGUGACAGCCCCGUACACAAAAAUGCACAUGCUGUGAGCUCGAUGAGUAGGGCGGGACACGUGGUAUCCUGUCUGAAUAUGGGGGGACCAUCCUCCAAGGCUAAAUACUCCUGACUGACCGAUAGUGAACCAGUACCGUGAGGGAAAGGCGAAAAGAACCCCGGCGAGGGGAGUGAAAAAGAACCUGAAACCGUGUACGUACAAGCAGUGGGAGCACGCUUAGGCGUGUGACUGCGUACCUUUUGUAUAAUGGGUCAGCGACUUAUAUUCUGUAGCAAGGUUAACCGAAUAGGGGAGCCGAAGGGAAACCGAGUCUUAACUGGGCGUUAAGUUGCAGGGUAUAGACCCGAAACCCGGUGAUCUAGCCAUGGGCAGGUUGAAGGUUGGGUAACACUAACUGGAGGACCGAACCGACUAAUGUUGAAAAAUUAGCGGAUGACUUGUGGCUGGGGGUGAAAGGCCAAUCAAACCGGGAGAUAGCUGGUUCUCCCCGAAAGCUAUUUAGGUAGCGCCUCGUGAAUUCAUCUCCGGGGGUAGAGCACUGUUUCGGCAAGGGGGUCAUCCCGACUUACCAACCCGAUGCAAACUGCGAAUACCGGAGAAUGUUAUCACGGGAGACACACGGCGGGUGCUAACGUCCGUCGUGAAGAGGGAAACAACCCAGACCGCCAGCUAAGGUCCCAAAGUCAUGGUUAAGUGGGAAACGAUGUGGGAAGGCCCAGACAGCCAGGAUGUUGGCUUAGAAGCAGCCAUCAUUUAAAGAAAGCGUAAUAGCUCACUGGUCGAGUCGGCCUGCGCGGAAGAUGUAACGGGGCUAAACCAUGCACCGAAGCUGCGGCAGCGACGCUGAUGCGUUGUUGGGUAGGGGAGCGUUCUGUAAGCCUGCGAAGGUGUGCUGUGAGGCAUGCUGGAGGUAUCAGAAGUGCGAAUGCUGACAUAAGUAACGAUAAAGCGGGUGAAAAGCCCGCUCGCCGGAAGACCAAGGGUUCCUGUCCAACGUUAAUCGGGGCAGGGUGAGUCGACCCCUAAGGCGAGGCCGAAAGGCGUAGUCGAUGGGAAACAGGUUAAUAUUCCUGUACUUGGUGUUACUGCGAAGGGGGGACGGAGAAGGCUAUGUUGGCCGGGCGACGGUUGUCCCGGUUUAAGCGUGUAGGCUGGUUUUCCAGGCAAAUCCGGAAA
rnacentral:rRNA from 1 species